rnacentral:rRNA from 1 species
AGUCGAGCGGCAACAGAGAGAAGCUUGCUUCUUUGCUGGCGAGCGGCGGACGGGUGAGUAAAAUCUGGGGAUCUGCCUAAAGGAGGGGGAUAACUGUUGGAAACGAUAGCUAAUACCCUAUAAUGUCGCAAGACCAAAGUGGGGACUUGUUCCUCAUGCCAUUAGAUGAACCCAGACGAGAUUAGCUAGCAGGUAGGGUAAAGGCCUACCUGGGCAACGAUCUCUAGCUGGUCUGAGAGGAUGACCAGCCACACUGGAACUGAGACACGGUCCAGACUCCUACGGGAGGCAGCAGUGGGGAAUAUUGCACAAUGGGCGAAAGCCUGAUGCAGCCAUGCCGCGUGUAUGAAGAAGGCCUUAGGGUUGUAAAGUACUUUCAGCGGGGAAGAAAAAAAAAUAUCCUAAUAAGAUUUUUAUUGACGUUACUCGCAGAAGAAGCACCGGCUAACUCCGUGCCAGCAGCCGCGGUAAUACGGGGGGUGCUAGCGUUAAUCGGAAUUACUGGGCGUAAAGCGCACGCAGGUGGUUUAUUAAGUCAGAUGUGAAAUCCCUAAGCUUAACUUAGGAACUGCAUUUGAAACUGACAAACUAGAGUUUCGUAGAGGGAGGUAGAAUUCCAGGUGUAGCGGUGAAAUGCGUAGAUUUCUGGAGGAAUACCAGUGGCGAAGGCGACCUCCUGGACGAAAACUGACACUCAUGUGCGAAAGCAUAGGUAGCAAACAGGAUUAGAUACCCUGGUAGUCUAUGCUGUAAACGAUGUCAACUUGGAAACUGUACUUAUAAAGUGUGGGUUCCGUAGCUAACGCGUUAAGUUGACCGCCUGGGGAGUACGACCGCAAGGUUAAAACUCAAAUGAAUUGAC